rnacentral:lncRNA from 1 species
AUUUUGAACCCCACAGCAGUUUAGCCAACAGUGGUGCUGGUGAAGCUUGUUGGAACUCAGGUUCCAACAGCCAGGAUAAGUGAUUCUCCUCUGGCUAGGGCUGGCCUAAAUGCUCCCUCCGUGGGUGCCAACUGAGUUCUGCCUUCUGUUGCUUUCCACUGUGAUAGGACAACACUGAGGUCAUAUGUAAAAUUGCACAGUUACUGCAUUCACCCUCCCCAAAGUGCACAGAUUCUCUCUGAGCCAAAUGGGUUAAGGGAGAAGUGAUGGAGGCGAUUCGAAGCUGUCUUUCCUACCCUCUUCAGUACCUCUUCCAGUGAUGUGAAGUUAAAACCAGAGAUGGAGUCUCCCUGUGUUGCCCAGUCUGGUCUUGAGAGCUUCAGUUUUAAAUAAUAAAUUGUUCUCGUCUUUCUAAAUUUCAAUCAAAACACAGGAUGUAUUUUAAAAGGGAAAAACUGUGAGGUAAAAGAAUAGGGUGAGGGGAGGAAAGAAAUAACUUCAUAGAGAAAAAUUCAAUGAACCCUUGGAAGAAAAUAUAUGGAAGUAUGGUUACUGACUUGGGAAAGAAGAGAAAGGUACAAUGUAACUGCACAUAGAAGCCAGUCCUGAAAAGAAGCAAGCCGGCUGAAGUUAUCUGCAACUCAGAAGCACUUGGUACCACCCAAGGGGAGAUAAGAGGAGAUCUCAUCAGAGGUGCCUGAAAAGCACCUCAGCCGAAGGCCUCACAUAGAGAGACCUAAGAAUGAAGGCACCUGGACUAGGAAUGUGAAUAUGUGAAAGAACAUGACCGGCCAGGGGCCCUGAGUUAUUGAAUGCAACCCCCUUCAGACACUGCAACACACAGGCUGUGCACCAAGCCUAGUAUGGGAAGGACAGCUUUUCUUCAUGAGGCCUGCCAGGUAAAGCCAGCUAUGAAACAGGAAGUUGACCUUCACCAGACACUGAACCUACUGGCACCUUGAUCUUGGACUUCCCAGCCUUACAAACUCUACAUAACUGGAGCCUCAGCUCUUCACUGACUGUCCUCAGGUUCCAGGGGCCACCUGCAGUUCCUUGCCACAUGGAUUUCUCCAGCAUAGCUGUGUACUUCAUCAAGGCACAAGGAGAGUCUCCAGUCUACCAGAGCCCUAUGUAAUGUAACAUAAUCAACAAAGUGACGUCCCAUUCAUAUUCAAUUGGUCAGAAGCAAGUUACAGUCCCCACCCAGGUCAGAGGGAGGAGAUAUGACAAAGAAGUAAACAUCAGGAGGCUGGGACAAUGGGGAUACUUAAGGUCCAUCCUGCUACAACUUCCACAAUGGCGUCUUGACCAUGAGGGCUCCACAGACACUGAAGCGGUCACCCAGGCUGCAAGUCUUGGAGGCAUUCUCUAGGAAUCACAGUCCCAUUCUUCUGCAGGCAAACGGAGUCGCCAUAUGACCCAGUAAGUUUACUCUUAGGUACAUUCCCUAGAGAAAUAAAAAUAUAUGUCCGUGCAAAAACAUGUAUGUGAGUGUUCGUAGCAGUGUUAUUCAUAAUAGCCAAAAGGUGGAAACAAGCCAAAUGUUUGUCAACUGAUGAAUGGAGAAAUAAAAUGUGGUAUAACCAUACAAUGGAACAUUAAACAGGAAUAAAAAGAAAUGGAAUGCUGAGACAUGCAACAACAUGGAUGAACCUCAAGUACAUUAUGCUAAAAGAAAGAAGCCGGUCACAAAGGACCACAGCUUGCAUGAUUCCAUUUAUACAAAAUGUCCAGAAUAGGCAGAUCUACAGACUGGAAGUAGAACAGGGAUUGCCAAGGGCUGUGGGAAGGGAAAAGUGGGGAACAAUGCUAAUGGGUAAGAGCUUUCUUUAUGGGAUAAUAAAAUGUUCCAAAUUUAGAUUGUGGUGAUAGUUGCACAAUUCUGUGAAAAUACUAACAAUUUUUAAUGGGCGACUAUUAUGGCAUGUGAAUUAUAUCUCAGUAAAUCUUUUUUUAUUAAAAAACAAAAAAG